AUUGAACGCUGGCGGCAUGCCUUACACAUGCAAGUCGAACGGUAACAGGUCUUCGGAUGCUGACGAGUGGCGAACGGGUGAGUAAUACAUCGGAACGUGCCUAGUAGUGGGGGAUAACUACUCGAAAGAGUGGCUAAUACCGCAUGAGAUCUACGGAUGAAAGCAGGGGAUCGCAAGACCUUGUGCUACUAGAGCGGCCGAUGGCAGAUUAGGUAGUUGGUGGGAUAAAAGCUUACCAAGCCGACGAUCUGUAGCUGGUCUGAGAGGACGAUCAGGCACACUGGGACUGGGAAACGGCCCAGACUCCUACGGGAGGUAGCAGUGGGGAAUUUUGGACAAUGGGCGCAAGCCUGAUCCAGCAAUGCCGCGUGCAGGAUGAAGGCCUUCGGGUUGUAAACUGCUUUUGUACGGAACGAAAAGCCCCGGGUUAAUACCCUGGGGUCAUGACGGUACCGUAAGAAUAAGCACCGGCUAACUACGUGCCAGCCGCCGCAGUAA
rnacentral:rRNA from 1 species